AGUGGCGGACGGGUGAGUAACGCGUGGGUAACCUACCUCAUACAGGGGGAUAACAGUUGGAAACGACCGCUAAUACCGCAUAACCCGCUAGUAUCGCAUGAUACAGACGGAAAAGAUUUAUCGGUAUGAGAUGGACCCGCGUCUGAUUAGCCAGUUGGCAGGGUAACGGCCUACCAAAGCGACGAUCAGUAGCCGGCCUGAGAGGGUGAACGGCCACAUUGGGACUGAGACACGGCCCAAACUCCUACGGAAGGCAGCAG
rnacentral:rRNA from 1 species